GGUUAGGUAGUUCAGUGGUAGAACACCAGCAUGUGGAAACCCGGGUUCAAAUCCCGAUCCAACCG